rnacentral:rRNA from 1 species
AUUGAACGCUGGCGGCAGGCUUAACACAUGCAAGUCGAGCGGGGGAAGGUAGCUUGCUACUGGACCUAGCGGCGGACGGGUGAGUAAUGCUUAGGAAUCUGCCUAUUAGUGGGGGACAACAUCUCGAAAGGGAUGCUAAUACCGCAUACGUCCUACGGGAGAAAGCAGGGGAUCUUCGGACCUUGCGCUAAUAGAUGAGCCUAAGUCGGAUUAGCUAGUUGGUGGGGUAAAGGCCUACCAAGGCGACGAUCUGCAGCGGGUCUGAGAGGAUGAUCCGCCACACUGGGACUGAGACACGGCCCAGACUCCUACGGGGGGCAGCAGUGGGGAAUAUUGGACAAUGGGGGGAACCCUGAUCCAGCCAUGCCGCGUGUGUGAAGAAGGCCUUAUGGUUGAAAAGCACUUUAAGCGAGGAGGAGGCUACUCUAGUUAAUACCUAGGGAUAGUGGACGUUACUCGCAGAAUAAGCACCGGCUAACUCUGUGCCAGCAGCCGCGGUAA